CUCGCUCUGGAGACCAGGCUGGCCUCAAACUCACAGAGAUCCUCCUGACCCUGCCUCCUGAGUGCUGGGAUUAAAGGCGUGUACCACCAACGCUCGGCUUCAUUGCCUUUUAAAAACAAUUUUAAAUUUAUUUCCUGUGUAUGUAUGUUUAGCCUGCAUUUAUGUCAGUGUACCAUGUGUGUGCCUGAUGACUGAAAAGAUCAGAAAAGGAUGCCAGAUUCCCUGGGACUGGAGUUACAGACAGUUGUGAGUCAUUUUGUGGGUUCUGGGAAUUUAAUUCAGAUCCUCUGUGAGAGUAGCAAGUGCUCAUAACUACUGAGCCAUCUCUCCAGCCCCUUCACCAUCUUCUGCAUGUCUUUGUACCUGGCAGCUUAGACUUACAACAGACACAUUACCAGUGAGCUUCCUGCUCAGCUCUUGGCAUGACCUUGUCCACAGCCUUGGCAGUGCCAGUGGAUGCAGGGUUGAUGUUCUAGGCAGUCCCACAACCAUCACACCACACUUUCCCAGAGGGGCUAUCCAUGCUUGUUUGUUUUUUGGAGGGUGGUAAUGUCAUGUGCGGUGGUCACUGAUGCCAAAGUUGUCAUGGAUGACCUUGGCAAGGAGGGCUAAGCAGUUGAUGGUGCAGGAAGCAUUGCUGACAAUCUUGAGUGGGUUUCAUAUUUCUCGUGGUUCAUUCUCAUCACAAACAUGGGGGUAACAGUAGAAGAGGCAGAGAUAUGACUUUUGCCUCCACUCUCCAAGUGGGCCCCAGCUUUCUCCAUGGUGGUGAAGACACCAGUUGAUUCCACUGGUGUUUGGUACCAGCGUCACCCCAUUUGAUGUUGGCAGGAUCCUGCUACUGAAAGAUGGAGAUUGUCUUCCCAUUGAUGGCCAAUUUCCUGAUCUCAGCCGUGACUUUUCCAGGGAACUUGCCAUGGGUGGAAUCAUACUGGGACAUGCAGACCAUGUAGUUGAGGUCUUUGAUGGCAGCCCUACUGACCAGAUCUCUGGGAAACUUUGUUGAGCGUGGUCUUCUGGUGGAAACCCAGAGCCCUCCACCAUUUCAGAUAUUGGCCUGUAACUCAAGGAAGCAGAGUCUGUUGUCUUGCAUAUGUGCAUUAGCCCUGUGUUCAGAAGAUCUGUGUAUAUCCUGUGAGCUUCUGUUGUCAACCUGAUACAUCAGAGAGGAAAACCUCAACCUCGGAAUGCAGAGAUGAGAUUGGCCUAUGGGGAUUGUUUUGACUGUUAAUUGAUAUAUGAGGGCCUAGCCCUCUGUGGGUGGCACCAUUCUAGCUAAGAAUGGGUCUGAUAGCUAACCAGCAGGGUUUUUCUCCUGUUUCUAUUUCAAGCUCCUGCUUGAGUUUUACCUUGAUGUCCCCUGGAUGAACCUACAAACAAAAAUAAAUCCUUUCUUUCCCUAAGUUGCUUUUGGU
rnacentral:lncRNA from 1 species